CCUACGGGAGGCAGCAGUGGGGAAUCUUAGACAAUGGGGGCAACCCUGAUCUAGCCAUGCCGCGUGAGUGAUGAAGGCCUUAGGGUCGUAAAGCUCUUUCGCCUGUGGUGAUAAUGACAGUAGCAGGUAAAGAAACCCCGGCUAACUCCGUGCCAGCAGCCGCGGUAAUACGGAGGGGGUUAGCGUUGUUCGGAAUUACUGGGCGUAAAGCGCGCGUAGGCGGAUUAGAAAGUUGGGGGUGAAAUCCCGGGGCUCAACCCCGGAACUGCCUCCAAAACUGCUAGUCUAGAGUUCGAGAGAGGUGAGUGGAAUUCCGAGUGUAGAGGUGAAAUUCGUAGAUAUUCGGAGGAGCACCAGUGGCGAAGGCGGCUCACUGGCUCGAUACUGACGCUGAGGUGCGAAAGUGUGGGGAGCAAACAGGAUUAGAUACCCUGGUAGUCCACACCGUAAACGAUGAAUGCCAGUCGUCGGAUAGUAUACUAUUCGGUGACACACCUAACGGAUUAAGCAUUCCGCCUGGGGAGUACGGUCGCAAGAUUAAAACUCAAAGGAAUGACGG
rnacentral:rRNA from 1 species